rnacentral:rRNA from 1 species
UACGGAGGAUGCGAGCGUUAUCCGGAUUUAUUGGGUUUAAAGGGUGCGUAGGCGGAUCGUUAAGUCAGUGGUCAAAUUGAGGGGCUCAACCCCUUCCCGCCAUUGAAACUGGCGAUCUUGAGUGGAAGAGAGGUAUGCGGAAUGCGUGGUGUAGCGGUGAAAUGCAUAGAUAUCACGCAGAACCCCGAUUGCGAAGGCAGCAUGCCGGCUUCCUACUGACGCUGAAGCACGAAAGCGUGGGGAUCGAUCAGG